rnacentral:rRNA from 1 species
GAUGAACGCUGGCGGCGUGCUUAACACAUGCAAGUCGAACGGAAAGGCCCAAGCUUGCUUGGGUACUCGAGUGGCGAACGGGUGAGUAACACGUGGGUGAUCUGCCCUGCACUUCGGGAUAAGCCUGGGAAACUGGGUCUAAUACCGGAUAGGACGAUGGUUUGGAUGCCAUUGUGGAAAGUUUUUUCGGUGUGGGAUGAGCUCGCGGCCUAUCAGCUUGUUGGUGGGGUAAUGGCCUACCAAGGCGUCGACGGGUAGCCGGCCUGAGAGGGUGUACGGCCACAGUGGGAGUGGGAUACGGCGCAGACUCAUACGGGGGGCAGCAGUGGGGAAUAUUGCACAAUGGGCGCAAGCCUGAUGCAGCGAAGCCGCGUGGGGGAUGACGGCCUUCGGGUUGUAAACUCCUUUCGCUAGGGACGAAGCGUUUUUGUGACGGUACCGGGAGAAGAAGCACCGGCUAACUACGUG